UAUGUCAUCCAAAACAUUACACACAAUUAACAUAUCUAUGUACUAGAAAAUUAAAUCUAUAGCAUUUUUCCGAUAUACCUUAAUUAUGACACGUUAAGGAAGAACUAUUCGCUAUACAGUAUGGAAUCAAAAUGACAGUUCGAAGCGAGUGUUAGAGCGAGAGGUUGGACGGCCAUCUUAUAUCGAUCUAGGCCAAAGCGAGGCAACGUCGCGUCCAUUUUGUUGUUAGCUUCACUAUUAUAUCGAUUUCAUCAUUCUGGAAUCGUCCGUCGCCGGACGCGGAUAUUUCUAUAAACGCUGUUAAAUUUUUUGGUGGCAAAGUAAAGAUUAUAGGAAAGUGGUCAGUCUUUGACAUGAGCCUUUAUCAAAUUGAUACUAUUUAUUGAUAUGCUGUUAAAAUAAUCUUCUCAGUUGUAGCGAGCAGAGGGCCUGUCUAAUGGAAGGUAGUUACCAUCGCACAACGACAUCUGCUACGUUAACGGAUGUUGCAGAUGAAUUGGCGACCUUUAUUGUGGAAGAGGGAGAGAAAAUGAUGGGAGAAGGGAAAGGCCAUCUGCUCUCUCACUAAUCGGACGAAACGUAGACAUUAAAGAUUACAUCACAUCGAUCUUCUGUCAGAGUGUGGUAUUUCCCCAAUCGAGCCAGCCCGUGUUCGAGCUGUAGUAAUUUGAUCACAGCAAGGCUCAACCUUAAGGAAUAUUCAUAUUCAGAGGGAUUAGAUUUAUUUUAUAA